GUCGAUAGCUCAAUUGGUAGAGCAGUUGCCUUUUAAGCAAUUGGUUCUGGGUUCGAGUCCCAGUCGA
rnacentral:tRNA from 1 species